CAGUCGCCGCGGUAAUACGAGGGGUGCAAGCGUUAAUCGGAAUUACUGGGCGUAAAGCGAGCGCAGGCGGUUUGUUAAGACAGAUGUGAAAUCCCCGGGCUCAACCUGGGAACUGCAUUUGUGACUGGCAAGCUAGAGUGUGGCAGAGGGGGGUGGAAUUCCGCGUGUAGCAGUGAAAUGCGUAGAUAUGCGGAGGAACACCGAUGGCGAAGGCAGCCCCCUGGGCCAACACUGACGCUCAUGCACGAAAGCGUGGGGAGCAAACAGGAUUAGAUACCCCUGUAGUCCCUGUCUCUUAUAC
rnacentral:rRNA from 1 species